rnacentral:rRNA from 1 species
GACGAACGCUGGCGGCGUGCCUAAUACAUGCAAGUUGAGCGAUGAAGAUUGGUGCUUGCACCAAUUUGAAGAGCAGCGAACGGGUGAGUAACGCGUGGGGAAUCUGCCUUUGAGCGGGGGACAACAUUUGGAAACGAAUGCUAAUACCGCAUAACAACUUUAAACAUAAGUUUUAAGUUUGAAAGAUGCAAUUGCAUCACUCAAAGAUGAUCCCGCGUUGUAUUAGCUAGUUGGUGAGGUAAAGGCUCACCAAGGCGAUGAUACAUAGCCGACCUGAGAGGGUGAUCGGCCACAUUGGGACUGAGACACGGCCCAAACUCCUACGGGAGGCAGCAGGAGGGAAUCUUCGGCAAUGGACGAAAGUCUGACCGAGCAACGCCGCGUGAGUGAAGAAGGUUGUCGGAUCGUAAAACUCUGUUGGUAGAGAAGAACGUUGGUGAGAGUGGAAAGCUCAUCAAGUGACGGUAACUACACAGAAAGGGACGGCUAACUACGUG